UACGGAGGGGGCUAGCGUCGUUCGGAAUUACUGGGCGUAAAGCGCACGUAGGCGGCUUUGUAAGUCAGGGGUGAAAGCCUGGAGCUCAACUCCAGAACUGCCUUUGAGACUGCAUCGCUUGAAUCCGGGAGAGGUAAGUGGAAUUCCGAGUGUAGAGGUGAGAUUCGUAGAUAUUCGGAAGAACACCAGUGGCGAAGGCGGCUUACUGGACCGGGAUUGACGCUGAGGUGCGAAAGCGUGGGGAGCAAACAGG
rnacentral:rRNA from 1 species